GCAUCUGGAGCUAGUCUGGUACUAAAAUAUGCUAAUAGGGAGAUCACACCGCCUACGUAGCACUAACUAAGUAGUUCUGUAUCACAUUUGUUUCAGAGCUGACAAAAAAAGUCCCAGAAAAAGAAAGACAACCAUUAAAAAAAAAAAAAAAAAAAAAAAACGAAGAAAAAAAGAAACAACAAAGUCACCCAAAAAACUAAAAUCCAAAACCACCCCCACACUUAAAUUCCUCCUCCCUUACCCUUAGUUAUCAGCCACCUCCUUGUCAGUGGUGCCAUUACAACUGCUUGAUAGAGUAGAUCACUGAAGAGAUUUUGCUUAAAACAGCUGGACUGAGACAGAAGUGGGACAUUUGCUUUGUUUGCUUCUUUCGCUGAGGACAAACCAAAUUUGUAGCAUGGUCACACAAAGGUGCAUUGGCACAGCUUUGCUAAGGGCAAAUCCUCCCUGACCAGUCUGGAAGCCACCUGUGAUGGGGUGAUGACAACAGAGGACAAGGGGAGGCAGACUGACAUCACCCAGCUAGACUUCUGAAAGGCCUUUGACACAGCCACACUUAUCUCAAACUGGAGAGACAUGGAUGAAUAUUUACAUGGUAGAAUAUAUACUGGAUAAGGAAUUGGCUGGAUGGAUGCAGAGAGUUGUGGUCAAUGGCUCUGUGUUGAGGUAGAGGCCAGUGACAAGUGAUGGCCCCCAGGGCUUUGUCUUGGCACUGGUGCUCUUAAAUAUAUUUUUCAGUGAAGAGCUGGGGUACCUUCUGUAUGGGGACAGGCUGAGAGGUCUGCUCAGCCUGGAUAAGAGGAAGGUUCCAGGAUGGCCUUCCAGCAGGCUUCCAGCACCUAAAGGGAGGCUACAAAAAAAAAAAAAAAAAAUACAGAACAGAGGGACUUUUGAGAGGGGCAUGUAGUCAUAGGACAAAGAGAAAUGGCUUUAAGCUGAAAGAGGAAAGGUUGGGAUCAGAUAUUAUAAUGAAAUUAUUUUCCAUGAGUGUAGGGAGGCAUUAUAAUAAUUUGCCCAGAGAAGCUGUGGAUGCCCCAUCCCUGGCAGUGUUCAAGGCCAGGUUGGAUGGGACUCUGAGAAACCUGGUCUGGUGAAAGGUGUCCCUGCCCAUGGCACGGGGUUGGAACUGGAUGAUCUUUAAGGCCCUUUCCAGCACAAGUAAAAGGAAUUGUAUCACAUUUUCUAGAGAUAAAUAAAAAAUAGUUUAUUCCUUUUCAGGACAGACAAUAUGAGGUAGCUUGAUAAAAGAGGGCUGUCCAGGCUAGUUUUUCAGGACCCCAAGCAGACACUUGGACUGUUAAAAGUCAAGCUGCCUAAAUGCUAAUGAAAGCAGCAAAUACUGCCUUGUGUCCUGUAGUGAAUUCCUGCUUUGCUCAGACUUGGAAUCAAGACUACAGACCACGUGGUCAGAACUGAAAGGUAUAAAAUUAAACACCCUCAUAACCAAGUACUUAGUAUUUAGUGUCCCUGAAUACUAACUUCAGGACCUGUUUCCAAGUGCACCUCAGUGAUGACACUGUGAAGCUCUUGCAGGGGGUGGGUGUGGGGGUGGAUGUGUACAUGUAUGGAGUGAGGAUGUGUGGAGUGUAUUUUCCAGCCCCUCGCAUAUUCAUACACCACCAGCUUGAGAAAUAGAACCUGGAUAGUAACCAAAGGCUCAGUAUAUUCAGUGGAGAAUAAAGGCUGCAUGUUCAAAUAGGCACUAACGUGAGUGGGUUGGUCAAAUUUUCCCUACAGUUGUUUUAUUCUGGAAACCUCACAAUGGAGAAAAGAAUCCUUUUGAAAUUCACAUUUCAAAGAGCACACUUUUGUGAAUAUUUUCAAAAGAAGAUGAUAGCAGUACUGAUUUCUAUAGACUGUGUAUAAACCAACACAUGCAUAUGCACAAACAUACAUGCACAUACAUAUGUAUAUGUAGAACUAUCUGUAACAGAAGAGGAGAUCCUUUCAUUUUGCCUUUUGUGCUGCUCACUCCAGGAAUCUACCCUUGAUCUUGGCAGAACUGAUAGUUUAUAAUGAAUACUUCUCCAGCUUUCAUGGCUGGCAUCAAGGAAACACCUGGGAGUAAGAUUUGUUCACAGUGGUUUUGUACAUUUCCUUUUCAAACAUAGUUACUGUUCUGUUUGCCUCUAAUAAACAUUUUUAUUGUGUUUAAAUAUUUUAUUGGUUUGGGAAAAACCAAAACAAUUGAAAACAAAUAAGUAAACAAGAGGGACUGCUGUGUUUCUGCAAGUGGAAAGAGGUACUGAAAGGGUAAAGAAGGCCAAAGUCAGGAGAUGUGCCAUUGACUGUACUGCAGAUUAGCUUCACCUGACAUUUAUCAGUGCCUCAUUUUUCUUUUACUGCCUACAUAGAAAGGGAGGUAUAGGAAAAUGGUGAUCAUUCUCAGGAAAGCUCUGACUUCUAUUUAAAGUGCUUGCAUUGUCCUCAGAAUCAUGGCAUUCAUUUUAUAUUGCAUUCAUCUCAACAACAACACUGUGAGAUUCAGAAUUUAAUAUUCUCACCUAACAUAAAGGAACUGAUGCAUUAAGAAGCCAAAUCAUUUACAGAGGGUGACACCAGAAAUUUCUGGAAAAGCUCUAAGAAUCUGACAUAGCAGACUUGAAGAACAGCCUAUUUUUUUUUUUUUUUUUUUUUUUUUUUUUUUUUUGCAUCAGUCUAAUACAACUGAUAUUAAUCCCACAAAUAAUAUUUUAGGCAGGAUAAAAUGCCAGAUGUACAGCAGAGUAAACAGAAUAUAUGAAAUAGAGAUUUAGAGGCAUAAUACCCCAUUCAUUCUAUUUUAAGGAACCAAGUCAGCAUAGUCAGAUAGCAUUCACAUUCUACAUUGAUGUGGUCAGACUUCCUUUGUCAUUAUGACAUUCCUUACUCCUUCCUUUCUGUGCAAUUUUCUGCUUGAGGUUUGAAACAUCCUUGACUCUAGGUAGUAGACCUAAAACUGCCUGUUCUGAGAUUUGAAUUAUUUCCAGUAACAACGUCCGUUCUAAGCAAGUUAGAGAGAUUAGAAAUAGAGCUAGCUGAAAAGGUGAACUGUGUUUUAGGGGAUCUCUUUUCAAAGGUCUUGACUAGCUCUCCCCUAAACCAGGACUGAAUAGGAAGAAAACCAAAAUUGAAGAAUCAGCUAUCUCAGAAAACCAAGAACAUCUGCUUUGAUUUUCAAUUUGAAUAGCAAACUUACAACCUAAAGACACACAUGCAAGAAAUACAAUCAGUGAACAGGGUCUUAUUCUAUCACCUCUUUGAGAAAGUUUUGGGGUAAAAACCAGUGAAGAGCCAGUCCUUUUUCCACAUACAGGUUUAGCAGGAAGAGGCUUUUUCAAGGACUCUGAAAUUCUUACAUGAGAGCCCUAGUACUUAUGUAGGUAGUUUAAGAAUGCAGCUGUAAAGUCUGUAAAUCUCAAUAUUCCCCCAUACUCUACUGCUCCAGCUGAGCAUGGAGAGGAAUAGCACUCUGUGAGAUAUUUUCCCUUCCUGUGAUACCCUGCAUUUUAGUCUAACCCAUCUCUGGAAAGAAGCUUCACUGGAAGUUAAAUCAAUUCCACAGCUUCAAAUGUGUUUCAAAACCAGCACACAUGAAAAGGGGGAUAAAGGGGAGCUUCUAAUUCUGUAUCUUUAUGAAUACUUAUGAAAAUAUGUGGAUCAAAGCCUCUUCCUCUGCAAGCAAAUUUCAAGCCUCCUGUAGGACUCAAAGGAAAUGUAUUAGAACUCAUUUUAUAUUUCAGUUAGCAUAAAGCAUUUUUUUCCUAAUUUGCAGGGAACUGCUUCAGAAAUAGAGCAAAACAGCCUAAACCAGGCCUUUCUUCUGCUUCCCUUUGCAGGGAUAUCACUGGAAUGCAAGCCAUCUGUGUCAUUACCUUCACAACCAGAUCUAGCCUACCUUACACACAUGAAAAGUCCAUCUGAAGAGAGAAAUGACCCCAGGUGAGGCACAACAUCCCCAGCUCUUCCUACUGAAACAAGCAUCAGCCAAGCCGGCACCUGCCAAAGCCGUUUUGACUUCAGUGGUUGAUUAAACCGAACAUUUGUUCCAACAACUCCAGCUCAGUCCAAGACUCACCAGAGUCAAUGAAGAAUUUUACUUCAGAAAAAUGUGGAUCAGGGCCAUAUAUGAAGUUAAUUGCUUUGCUUUAUUAUCAUGAGAGUUUCCAUUCCAAGAUUCUGUUCUGAAAUAGUACAAAGAAAAGGGCUGAACAAGAAUUAAUCUUACAAGAAUAACCAGGAGUUGUAUGUCCUUGCCACUCAAAACAGUUCUUUUUGAAAAAGCAUUGAGAAGAACCAUCCAAUAUUAAAAAAAAAAAAAAAAAAAAAAAAAAGAAACGUAAAAUUAAACCUGAUAAUGAAAAAGGAAUGGACAUGGUACAACAGGAGACAUCCCUCUGUUCCUCUGAGAAACUUGGAAUGCUAACCAGGCAGGAAGAGCAAACAGGGCAGUCUCAUUCUAUACCAAAAUGACCCUGGAAACCAAACUGUAUUGAAUUUAUUCUGUAUUCUCACAGAAAUAAUACUACCCUUGUCAGCACUUUUGGAGAGAAGAAGGAUUCUAUCCUAAGUUGCAGACUGAUCUUAGACUUAGACAUUAAUUCAAUUGUGUUUUUAAAAAGUAUCCUCAAUCGCACAUAACUCACACUGGAAAUAACCACCUGGAUUUUUAACUGCAAAUUUCCUCACUGUUCCCCCUAAAGUUGUGGGCUUGUGUUUUUAAUGUCUGUGAUAAGCAUUAGGGUUUCUUUCUUAAUCUUUGCAAAGAAUUCCUAUUUUUUUAAAAAUCAUUUCAAACAAAGGUGUAUUUCUCAAGGAGAUACUGCAAAGCAGAGACAAACAGCAGCGCUUUUACCCAUGUCAAUAGCUUCAGAGCUGAACAAGCUCCAGAAAUCCAAGCAGAAUAUCAGGAGAUGAUCUGUGGCACAGCACAGCCAAAGGAAUAUCUAUUCCCUGUCGUUGUGAACAAGAGUGUUACACCUUCUGUCCUAACUUGCUUAUAAAUUGUUGGAAAAGUGUUCUAGCAUGUACCACCCUAGAGAAAAUGAUGCCAGGAGGAAAACAUUUCCUAAGACCUCACUAAGCCGAGACAGAAGGAAAACACCUUGCUCCUUGCCAGGACUCAGGAUUAUCACUGAUGUGGGAGAAAUACACUUCAUAUAAACAGAGAAAACAUCAUCCUCUUAUUCACUUUUGUCUUUUCUCCCUUGACUCUUUGCCUCAAGAAACAGAUGAAAGAACAGGAUCUCACUGCUUAGUCAUAUGUUUAUUUCCACCCCCUCUAUCACCUACUCUUUCCACUUGUUCCUGUUAUUAGCACAAACCCUGAACCUGUCACACAGUUCCCUUGUGGGGACCAUACAAACUCAGGCUGACACUUGUCAGCUCCUCUCCCUAUUAUAAAACAGCACAUGAUACUUUGUGCUGGCAGAGGGAACCUUGCUGUUGAUCUUGGCAGGGCCCCCACUCUCAUGAACCAAAGGUGUGCUACGACUUACUAAAUUAUGUUCUGUCAUACAAAGGGGUUUUCCAUCUUUUUCAUCGGUAAAUACAAUUUUUUUCACAGUUUAUGGAAAAGCAAGCUCCAGUACACCUGCAACCCUCCACAGUACUGAUCACUGACUUCUGUCCCUCACAAAAAAUUAUUAUUAAUCAGCAAGGUGAGCCAUAACACCCUUUUAAGCUUUUUCACCCAAAGGAACAGAAAGAUUUAAUGAAGUCAUAGCCAGAUCCAUCCCAUCAAUCAGUAGAAUAGUGACCACACUCUCUUAACCUUCCAAGAUCUGACGUACAAUUUGAUGCAGCAAACAUUUUCCCAGUAAACUCCUCAUACAUCAAGCCUUGAAGCAGGAUAUUAAUAUAACUUCUGGGGGAAGCUAUGAAGAGCUAUUUCUGGACAAAUGAAGAAAUCCUUCUAAGGAGUAAGGGAAGAGUCACACUCAGUGCUAAUAUACUGACUCAAACAGGUUGCAAAAUUGAUUCUUAGUACAGCUACAACUAUUUUUUCAACUAUUGUUUUCAACAAAUCAAAUUUGAGUGGAGGGUCAUCCUCAAAAUUACUUCUCUUCCUCAUUUAUACACAAUGUGUAAUAUGUAAUAUAUAUUUAUAGAAAUGAUUAUUAUAUUUUAUACAGCAAUAUAUAAUUUAUAUGAUAUUAUGCAUACAAUAUUUUAAUUAUCUAUUAAACAUUGGGUAUGUUUACCUACAGAUAUAAUUUCAUGAAGCAGACUAGAGAUGCUUGUAUCAAGCUCAGUCAGGACUUUAAUAUAUCCCAUUUUCAUCUAGAGGCAGAUGCAUUUAAAAAGUGUACCCAAUGUCUUCCUAAUCUGUUUGACUACCAAACCUCAACCCCCUUGGCUUUAAAUGAUCUUUACUUUUUGUACAUUUAUGUAAAAUGCUUGUUGCUGUACUUACAUUCCAUACAGAUUAAAAUGUGCUUCUUUUGUAUUUGUAGCAGGUGCAAUACCUGUUUCCACACAAAUUUCUGGCUUUAAUAAUGGCUAAAGAUAACAGCACAAACUUCUACUCUGCUUUCCAUGAAAGAACAAGGACUCUGGCAAUCACUGGCUGAUGCAAGGGAAUUGAUAUAUGACAGAAGUCACCAGGGAAACAGUCUUGGAUCCAUCACUAUAUGCUGUCCCUGAGUUCCCUGCCGAUCUGAAGAGGUUCUGAACAUCUGAUCUCAUCAUAUCUCUGACUUGAUAGCAGAUAUAUUUAUACUGAAAUCACACUGUAUCCCAGAAGGUGGUAAAAAAUUGCUUCGACCAUUUGAAAAUCUAUCACUUACAAAUUAUGGAAUUAUUGGAAUCAUUAUGGAAUGCAUUUCCAUAAAAUAAAUCAUUCAGUGAUUUAUUCCAAUCAAUAAUCCUUCCAAACACUUGGUUUUAUAGAACCUAGACAUCUCUCUAAACAUUUGCAGUGGCCUCCUCCUGCAACAAGACAUCAAUAGUAGUGGUCUGGGCUCUUACACACAACAGUUACCUGCUCUUUAAAAGGUGCAGAACAAGACUCCAGCAAAUAGCAAAGGAAGUCCAAGAGAAAAUGACUGGAUCUGGGCAUAGUUCCACAGAGGUGCCAGGAGCCUGCCUAUGCUAACCUGCACAUCCUGAACAUUUGGUCCUAACUCCCCAUGUCCUGUCAAAUAAACAGGGAUGGGGGAAGGCUUGUGGCUGGAACAUCCUGCACUUAGGCCUGCCGCAGCUCUCACUAGAGAAAGCAGUUCUCUAUCCUGAGCUGAGGUCAGGGCUGGCACUGGGAGAAUGAGGAAGCCGUAAACCAGUUGUCUCUUCCUUGUGCCAAGCAAACCACAGCAGAGAGUUUGGACCCUGUUGCUCUCAUGUUCCAGAGGGCCUGUGCCCUGUCAUUCUAGUUAAAGAAGCCUUGUUGCCUUCCCUGCCCCUUACCCAACCUUGGUGGUUAUACAACCACCAUGCGUGCUUUGAAACCUCUCCCUUACUCAUCCAAACUCCAGCUUCGCACAACACUCAGGAUGAGUUCAAACCUGGGAAUCAAACACUGUGCAUGGCACAGUAAAGCUGCAACUGAGAAAUAAAUAAAUUACUGCUGAGCUGUCAGGAGACAAACUCUA